rnacentral:rRNA from 1 species
GAUGAACGCUGGCGGCGUGCCUAAUACAUGCAAGUCGAGCGAACAGACGAGGAGCUUGCUCCUCUGACGUUAGCGGCGGACGGGUGAGUAACACGUGGAUAACCUACCUAUAAGACUGGGAUAACUUCGGGAAACCGGAGCUAAUACCGGAUAAUAUAUUGAACCGCAUGGUUCAAUAGUGAAAGACGGUUUUGCUGUCACUUAUAGAUGGAUCCGCGCCGCAUUAGCUAGUUGGUAAGGUAACGGCUUACCAAGGCAACGAUGCGUAGCCGACCUGAGAGGGGGAUCGGCCACACUGGAACUAGGACACGGUCCAGACUCCUACGGGAGGCAGCAGUAGGGAAUCUUCCGCAAUGGGCGAAAGCCUGACGGAGCAACGCCGCGUGAGUGAUGAAGGUCUUCGGAUCGUAAAACUCUGUUAUUAGGGAAGAACAAAUGUGUAAGUAACUAUGCACGUCUUGACGGUACCUAAUCAGAAAGCCACGGCUAACUACGUG